GGACCAGGCUUCAUUCCC
rnacentral:ncRNA from 2 species